UCGCUUGUCUCAAACAAGCCUAGUUUCAGUCCGGCGCAAGCUAGAGGGAAAAAAAAACAAAACUUGAAGAAACUAGAGCAUCACUCAAAGCACUAAGUUGAAGUUAGACGGAAGCCGCCCUGCCGCCUGACGGAGCUUCUGGAAGAGUCUGUAGCGGAGCUGAUUAAAGAGAACCAGGACCAGCGUUGCAGUCGGGAAGAAAAGCAAUGUGGCACCUCCCCGCUGAUUUUCCUUCUGGCAGAAUCUACACAACACAUCAGCUCCAUUGAACAGCCUAUCAUGCCAGCCUAUAUGCACAUGAGGCGCAGAGUUUUACUCUGUGUGUUGCAACUUAUAUAUGUAUUGCACUUGACGCACAAACAUGCAUGGCGUAAUUUCCACUGGGGACAUGUCCCCCGCUCUUUUCUAAAUCCUGUUUGUGUCCCCCCACUUUACAAAUAUGUUUUUUUAUUUUUUUAACGCAAGCCGUCAUCGCCACGGAGGAGCACACAGCCUCUGUGAGCAAGCGAGA